rnacentral:lncRNA from 10 species
CCUCAAGGUGCCACACGCUCGCCUGCUCCCUGUUCCUACAUCCUGGGCGUCUUCCCAGGCUGUCAUAUAACUCCUGAGAAUAGUGGUUCUUAACUCUAGUCUUGCUGUGUCACCCAGGCUGGAGUGCAGUGGUGAAAUCUUGGCUCACUGUGGCUUCAGCCUCCCAGGCUCAAGAGAUCCUACCAUCUCAGCCUCCUGAGUAGCUGGGACUACAGAGAGAAGAACUGAAGCUGAAAAAUCUACCUGCCUAAGGACUCAUAACUUGUAAGAAUAGUUGUGAAAC